CCCUUAGAUGUUCUGGGCCGCACGCGCGCUACACUGAUGCAUUCAACGAGUCCAACCUUGACCGAGAGGUCCGGGUAAUCUUUGAAACUGCAUCGUGAUGGGGCUAGAUUAUUGCAAUUAUUAAUCUUCAACGAGGAAUGCCUAGUAAGCGUGAUUCAUCAAAUCGCGUUGAUUACGUCCCUGCCCUUUGUACACACCGCCCGUCGCUCCUACCGAUUGAGUGUGUUGGUGAGGAGUUUGGAUUGGCCUCGGAAGGUGGUUCGCCACCGUCCGUAGCUGAGAAGUUCUCCAAACCGCCCCACUUAGAGGAAGGAGAAGUCGCAACA
rnacentral:rRNA from 1 species